rnacentral:rRNA from 1 species
AUUGAACGCUGGCGGCAGGCUUAACACCUGCAAGUCGAGCGGAGCGGCGGACGGGUGAGUAAUGCUUAGGAAUCUGCCUAUUAGUGGGGGACAACAUCUCGAAAGGGAUGCUAAUACCGCAUACUACUAGAUGAGCAUCAGUCGGAUUAGCUAGUGGGUGGGUUAAAGGCCUACCAAGGCGACGAUCUGUAGCGGGACUGAGAUGAUGAUCCGCAACACUGGGACUGAGACUAGGUCCAGACUCCUACGGGUGGCAGCAGUGGGUAAUAUUGGCCAAUGGGGGGAACCCUGAUCCAGCCAUGCCGCGUGGUGGAAGAAGGCUUUAUGGUUGUAAAGCACUUUAAGCGAGGAGGCGUUACUCGCCGAGUAAGCCCCGGCUAACUCUGUGACAGCCGCCGCGGUAAUUC